rnacentral:rRNA from 1 species
ACACAGGUGGGUGAGGAGAGUAUCCUAAGGCCAGCGAGAGAACUGUUGUUAAGGAACUCGGCAAAAUGACCCCGUAACUUAGGGAUAAGGGGUGCCACCAUCCGGUGGUCGCAGAGAAUAGGCCCAAGCGACUGUUUACCAAAAACAUAGGUUUCUGCUAAGUCGCAAGACGAUGUAUAGGAGCUGACGCCUGCCCGGUGCUGGAAGGUUA